ACAUCACUUCUAAUGGUUGUGGCAGCACUAAGCUGUGUUUGUCAAGUUCAACUAAUUGUAAUCCUGGAGGAUCCAACUGCUUUUUCACUUCUUCUAAAUUGAACAACCAAACGUUUUCCUUUGAACUCAGUGGACCAUCGUCUGGGUACGUCGCACUGGCACUCGCCAAACAGAAUUCCAAUUAUGUGUUUGUCUGUGGCAACAACAACACCAACGGCAACAGUUUUUUCUUUCAAACCGACACUCAAAAUGGCUCAGUGUUGACUCCUGCUAAUGUGUCCAACGUAAUAGGUUCUUCGGGUGCAGUAUCGCAGAGUCUCAUUCAGUGUAUCUUCAACACCAGCACCACUUUCAACCUCAAGACCACAGCUAAUGACAAUUUUUACAACAUCUCCAUCCUUACAGGCUCGACAAACGGAACACAACUGGGAAAUGCAACUACACAGGUUUCCACUGGCACACUAGUAGACCUUUCUAAUCCAAGUGCACUUUCAAAUGGCACCAAGUCAGCUG